GGCUAGGUUAGUGCCCAAUAGAACAUAUGGACUCGUAUAGAGAAAAUUAGCAUGGCCCCUGUACAAUAAUGACAUGAAAAUUCAUGAGGAGUUCCAUACUUUU
ensembl:snRNA U6 U6 spliceosomal RNA